rnacentral:rRNA from 1 species
GACGAACGCUGGCGGCGUGCUUAACACAUGCAAGUCGAACGGAAAGACCCUGCUUUUGUUGGGUGCUCGAGUGGCGAACGGGUGAGUAACACGUGAGUAACCUGCCCUUGUCUUUGGGAUAACUCCAGGAAACUGGGGCUAAUACCGCAUAGAAUCUCCUGCUGCAUGGUGGGGGUUGGAAAGAUUCGGCGGUGGGGGAUGGACUCGAGGCUUAUCAGCUUGAUGGUGUGGUAGUGGCAUACCAAGGCUUUGACGGGUAGCCGGCCUGGGAGGGUGACCGGCCACAUUGGUACUGAGAUACGGCGCAGACUCCUACGGGAGGCAGCAGUGGGGAAUAUUGCACAAUGGGCGGAAGCCUGAUGCAGCAACGCCGCGUGCGGGAUGACGGCCUUCGGGUUGUAAACCGCUUUGGCCUGUGACGAAGCGUGAGUGACGGUAAUGGGUAAAGAAGCACCGGCUAACUACGUG